CGGAGCAUGCAAACACCAAGCAGUUACCUUAAGAUUUGAAGGGAGCGUUCCAGCCAGGGCCAAAAGCAGUGAGGAUUUCCCCGCGCCGGGAGGACCCAAAAGCAAUGUCAUUCUGAAAAUAUAUGGGAUAAGAGGAUCUUUGGUGGAGAAAUUAAUUCAAGAGGGAGACAGAGAGUUCUUGUGAAGAACAUACCUCGAGCACAUUGGCAUAGGUGUUUAGGAUGGUCGGCAAGCCCCUGCUGCCAACGUACGCCUCUGCUUCGACGUUCAGGUUCUCGUACCUCACUUCGAUCGUCGGCAGUUGAAUCCCAACUCUGCACCACAGAAGCAGCAGAGCUACUUUGAACAUCCAAGGAAGAGAGGAUUUCAUCUAUGAUGUUUUCAGGCUCCGUUUGGCAUCACAGUAGACCAAAGCUGACACCGGAGAAGAUUGCGACAAUGCUUGAGGGGGAACUCUUACCGGUCGACGCGGUCCUUGAACUUGGAGAGGAACCGCUGGUGGUCGUCGCCGACCCAGGCCAGCCGCUGCAGCAAC